rnacentral:lncRNA from 1 species
UUUGCUGAUUAGGUGCAUUUUAAAAUCUAUAAAUCUAUCACAUGUAGCAGCUACUUUAAAUUUGUGUUCACAAGAGAUACUCAAGAAAAUUUAGCUCAACACAUUAUUCUCCUCCUUUUUCAUUCUUAAGAUCAAUUAUUUGAAUUGCAAUUUGGUUUAUGAUUGAUGCAUAAGAUAUAUUAACCAAAUAGCAAACCUCAAGGUGUAUUACAGAGAUUUUCAGAUGUAAAUUUCAGAUAUUUAUAAUACAUAUUGGAGAGUAUUAGGAUCACUUCUCAUUUAGUAUUCUUUCUUUUCUUCUUUAGUUAUUGAUUUAUGCGAUUAAGUUCCACAUGAUCUCUCCUAAAAAUUUUCUUUCUCCUCCUUAAUUAAACAUUCAA